rnacentral:rRNA from 1 species
GACAGAGGUGCCGAGCGUUAGGCGGAAUCACUGGGCUUAAAGCGUGUGUAGGCGGAUGGGUAAGUACCUUGUGAAAUCCCACGGCUCAACCGUGGAACUGCUCGGUAUACUGCUCGUCUUGAGCCAACUAGGGGCGACCGGAACAAACGGUGGAGCGGUGAAAUGCGUAGAUAUCAUUUGGAACGCCAAAGGUGAAAACAGACAGCUGGGGAUGUGCUGACGCUGAGACACGAAAGCCAGGGGAGCGAACGGG